rnacentral:rRNA from 1 species
UCCUGGCUAGGACGAACGCUGGCGGCGUGCCUAAUACAUGCAAGUCGAACGGUCUUUCUAUGGAAGCUUGCUUCCACUGAGAAGAUAGUGGCGAACGGGUGAGUAACACGUGGGUAACCUGCCCAUAAGAGGGGGAUAACAUCCGGAAACGGGUGCUAAUACCGCAUAGUUUUCUUGAUCGCAUGAUCGGGAAAGGAAAGACGGCCUUUGUGCUGUCGCUUAUGGAUGGACCCGCGGCGUAUUAGUUAGUUGGUGAGGUAAUGGCUCACCAAGACGAUGGUACGUAGCCGACCUGAGAGGGUGAUCGGCCACAUUGGGACUGAGACACGGCCCAAACUCCUACGGGAGGCAGCAGUAGGGAAUCUUCCGCAAUGGACGAAAGUCUGACGGAGCAACGCCGCGUGAGUGAAGAAAGGUUUUCGGAUCGUAAAACUCUGUUGUCAGAGAAGAACAAGUUGGAGAGUAACUGCUCCAGCCUUGACGGUAUCUGACCAGAAAGCCACGGCUAACUACGUGCCAGCCGCAGC